AGAGUUUGAUCCUGGCUCAGAUUGAACGCUGGCGGCAUGCCUAACACAUGCAAGUCGAACGGUAACGACGGGAGCUUGCUCCCGGGCGACGAGUGGCGGACGGGUGAGUAAUACUUAGGAAUCUGCCCAGUAGUGGGGGACAACUCGAGGAAACUCGAGCUAAUACCGCAUACGCCCUACGGGGGAAAGCGGAGGAUCUUUCGGGACUUCGCGCUAUUGGAUGAGCCUAAGUCGGAUUAGCUUGUUGGUGGGGUAAAGGCCUACCAAGGCAACGAUCUGUAGCUGGUCUGAGAGGACGAUCAGCCACACUGGGACUGAGACACGGCCCAGACUCCUACGGGAGGCAGCAGUGGGGAAUAUUGGACAAUGGGGGCAACCCUGAUCCAGCAAUGCCGCGUGUGUGAAGAAGGCCUGCGGGUUGUAAAGCACUUUCAGUAGAGAAGAAAUGCCCAUGGUUAAUACCCGUGGGUCUUGACGUAACCUACAGAAGAAGCACCGGCUAACUCCGUGCCAGCAGCCGCGGUAAUACGGAGGGUGCGAGCGUUAAUCGGAAUUACUGGGCGUAAAGCGCGCGUAGGCGGUUUGGUCAGUCGGAUGUGAAAGCCCUAGGCUCAACCUGGGAAUGGCAUUCGAUACUGCCUGACUAGAGUAUGGUAGAGGGAAGUGGAAUUUCCGGUGUAGCGGUGAAAUGCGUAGAUAUCGGAAGGAACACCAGUGGCGAAGGCGACUUCCUGGGCCAAUACUGACGCUGAGGUGCGAAAGCGUGGGGAGCAAACCGGAU
rnacentral:rRNA from 1 species